rnacentral:rRNA from 1 species
CCUACGGGAGUCAGCAGUGGGGAAUAUUGGACAAUGGGCGAAAGCCUGAUCCAGCCAUGCCGCGUGUGUGAAGAAGGCCUUCGGGUUGUAAAGCACUUUCAGUGGGGAAGAAAGCCUUGGGGCUAAUACCCUCGAGGAAGGACAUCACCCACAGAAGAAGCACCGGCUAACUCCGUGCCAGCAGCCGCGGUAAUACGGAGGGUGCGAGCGUUAAUCGGAAUUACUGGGCGUAAAGCGCGCGUAGGCGGUCUGAUAAGCCGGUUGUGAAAGCCCCGGGCUCAACCUGGGAACGGCAUCCGGAACUGUCAGGCUAGAGUGCAGGAGAGGAAGGUAGAAUUCCCGGUGUAGCGGUGAAAUGCGUAGAGAUCGGGAGGAAUACCAGUGGCGAAGGCGGCCUUCUGGACUGACACUGACGCUGAGGUGCGAAAGCGUGGGUAGCAAACAGGAUUAGAUACCCGUGUCGUC